rnacentral:rRNA from 1 species
UACGUAGGGUGCGAGCGUUAAUCGGAAUUACUGGGCGUAAAGCGUGCGCAGGCGGUUCGCCAAGUCAGGUGUGAAAUCCCCGGGCUUAACCUGGGAAUUGCGCUUGAAACUAGCGGGCUUGAGUGUGGCAGAGGGGGAUGGAAUUCCGCGUGUAGCAGUGAAAUGCGUAGAUAUGCGGAGGAACACCGAUGGCGAAGGCAAUCCCCUGGGCCUGCACUGACGCUCAUGCACGAAAGCGUGGGGAGCAAACAGG